AUUUCCCCAAUGGGUUCUCCGGAUUUCUGGAGACUUGUAGGGGUUGUGGGUUUUUUUCGAUGUGUCGUCUCCGGACGGGCGGUGCAGGGUAGUCGAGUUGGACUUGGUGGAAUUCGGUUUAUUCGAAUCCGUCGAGUCUGGCUGGCACGAUCGUGUGCGGCUGUGUGCUGGACGGUGUAGGGUAGGCUGCUUGGACAUGGUCGGUUCGAGGAUCGAUUCGAGGGCCGGCCUGUCGAUGAUGUGAUGUAUGCGGUCUAGGGUAGGCUGGUUUGUCUUGGUCCAAUUUGAUGUCGGCUCCCGUGCAGACCAGAGUGAGGGCGGUCCAGGGUAGGUCCAGGGUAGGCAGCUUAGAUUUGAUCGAUCUGGAGGUCGAUUCUCCGGCUGGCGGAUCUGACACUGUCGAAACGAGAUGCGAGCGGUGUAGGGUAGGCCAGUUUUGUCGUCGCCAGGUUGCGAUUCGGACGAGAUAUGUGGUCUAGGGUAGGGUCUAGGGUAAGUAGAGUUCGAGUUUCGUCGCCAACAGUUUGCUGUAUGUGUAGGGUAGGUGCAGGGUAAGCAAAUCUCUCUCUGGCCAGACGGUUUUGCGGUCUGGUGGUCGUGAGUCGAUUUUUUUGUUUU
rnacentral:misc_RNA from 1 species